GGCUGGUCCGAGUGCAGUGGUGUUUACAACUAAUUGAUCACAACCAGUUAUAGAUUCCUUUGCUCCUUCUCCACUCCCAUUGCUUUACGUGACUAGCCUUUU
rnacentral:Y_RNA from 1 species